AGCGGCCAUUUUACCGAGCCGAAUGUAAAAGCGUAGGUCACUAUUGACGCCAGGAAGAACAUAGGCGGGCAUUGCCAGGAAAGUUUUGUUUUCGGCUCAGUAAAAUGGCCGCGAGUGGAUUCAAUGACUCAAUAAGCUGAUUAAGGGCAUUACGAGUCCAGAUUUUAUUAUAUACGUCCGUGUGUAAACGGCUAUCAAUGCAUGCAACUCUACGUGCAGUGCAUGCGCAAUGGCCGUGGUUUAAACUGAAAUGACGUCACACUUACGAAUCGGAUAGGUGGAAAAGGCAUGUAACAUGCGCGUACUCCCCGUCCACGAGUGUCGUGCCACCUCAGUAAUGGCCUCUAAAGGUUGACCCCUGAUGGUGCACUUCUGGAACCCUUGUACAGGAAAAACAACUUGCAAAGGUUGAACCUUGGAAUCAUGAACGUGUCUACAGGACAGUCUUCUGAGAUCGCUCUAUUUCUUCUGUACGUGCAGUCGGUUGCCCUGUAGAUGUACAUUGUACUUCCAGUGAUAUUUUUGGAGAGCUACGUCGACUGUGUUGUUACGGGCAUUCACCGCCAUGCUCGGUGAGAAGUUUCUUGGACAAAAUUUGAAAUGGAAGCUUUUUGAGGACAUUUUGAUGACAGUGAACAGCAUGCAAGACACGAAUGUACAAUGUAGACAGUCUUUACAAGGACUUGGGAACGAAGGGGCCGUCCAAAGUUUUCAACAUUUUCACGGUCGCACAAAGGGUGAAAUGAACGAUGAUAAGGGCAACAGAAACCCUGUAACUCCAGAUGAGAUGCACAAAACUCUUGACGAGGACACACAAAGACGUCUUCCAGACGAAGAAUCUGUUUUCAAGAAAGUCUCAACUCCAGCUUAACCAGGAAACACAUCUCUGAAGUAUGAUUAUGCUGAGGUUGGUGGUAGCGUGGCCAUUGCUAUGACCGUCCGUUCUAGGGCAUCUAACGAGGGAUAUGUUGACAGCCAAAACACUAGAAAGGAAAAUAAGAGGACACCAACCAAACAAACUGGAAAACAAUCCGAUAUAAACGGCCUACUUAAACGACCUCCCAGAAUGCAUCUCAAAAGGCACUCCGGUUAGGCUGUUCGCAGAUAAUGCAUUUAAAUAUCGUGAAAUUAGAUCUGAGGAGGAUUGUUCCAUCCUACAAGCUGACUUAGAUGCACUUACUAAAUGGGGAUCUGACUGGCAAAUGGCUUUCACUACCAGCAAAUGUUUCGUCAUGCACUUCACAAAAAGGGACCUCCAAAAAUGUCUCCUUACAUUUUGUGUGGAGAUCAACUCCAGACCACUGAUUGUAACUCGUACCUGAGAAUAAAAUGUAGUAAUAAUCUAAAAUGGGAAAAUCA